AAGAGCUCCUACCUCCUCUGUUCUUUUAAUCUCCUGCUGCGGGUGGCAGACAUGGGAGAGACAGGCAAGCUGCAAAGGGAAGUCGACGAAAUAAAAUUAAAGCCCUACAAUCGUGUUCGUGUCAAUGUAGAUGGGGUGCCCCCCUCGGUUUGCUCACAGAGGUGGGUGUGAGAUCCUACAGGACGGUCUGGAAGACAUCCCAUGGAAGGCACUUUAUUUUGCCCAGAAGCUGGAGGAAAAGCAGAAGGGCGCUGAACACUGACUAAGAGGAGAGAGCGCACAUUACAUGGAGACCAUGGUCCCCAUACCAGAAACAUGAGAGUAGAGAGAAGCAAAGCCAGCAUCGUGGAGCCAGUCCCUUUAUCCAGGAUCUUGGAGGGAUACAGUCUUCUGUAGAAAUUAAAUAAAGACUGAAUUCUUCAAUGGGUAUUUUGAGAAGAGAGCCACUGUAAGCUUAUACACUGUGAAUUGCAAAAUGUUACUGCCUCUGGGUGGACAGGUUUUAAAAAGACUUUUUUUUUUCCUCCUGGCAUGGCUGACAGAGGGAAGGCUGGGUUUCAAUCCCAUCUUUCCCUUCCCUUGCCCAGUGCUUCUUUAUGUGCACAACCUGCACAACUAUAUGUGGUUUGCAAACACGCAUAAGCAAAGACUAACAGCUUCUGAAACAAACUCUGAAUAAAAGAGGGAGCAUAUUAAGGCAGAUGGCAGAGGAGGUGAGCAGCAUGGGCAGAUAGAAGCAUCACAGAGACUACAAGAAGAAUGUGCCAGACCGGCUCAUAGUGGCCACACUGAUUAAGAAUUACCAUCAGCUCUUUAGGAUUUGGAA
ensembl:lncRNA LINC02607 long intergenic non-protein coding RNA 2607